UUUAUGGAGAGUUUGAUCCUGGCUCAGGAUGAACGCUGGCGGCGUGCCUAAUACAUGCAAGUCGAGCGAACGGACGAGAAGCUUGCUUCUCUGAUGUUAGCGGCGGACGGGUGAGUAACACGUGGAUAACCUACCUAUAAGACUGGGAUAACUUCGGGAAACCGGAGCUAAUACCGGAUAAUAUUUUGAACCGCAUGGUUCAAAAGUGAAAGACGGUCUUGCUGUCACUUAUAGAUGGAUCCGCGCUGCAUUAGCUAGUUGGUAAGGUAACGGCUUACCAAGGCAACGAUGCAUAGCCGACCUGAGAGGGUGAUCGGCCACACUGGAACUGAGACACGGUCCAGACUCCUACGGGAGGCAGCAGUAGGGAAUCUUCCGCAAUGGGCGAAAGCCUGACGGAGCAACGCCGCGUGAGUGAUGAAGGUCUUCGGAUCGUAAAACUCUGUUAUUAGGGAAGAACAUAUGUGUAAGUAACUGUGCACAUCUUGACGGUACCUAACCAGAAAGCCACGGCUAACUACGUGCCAGCAGCCGCGGUAAUACGUAGGUGGCAAGCGUUAUCCGGAAUUAUUGGGCGUAAAGCGCGCGCAGGUGGUUUCUUAAGUCUGAUGUGAAAGCCCACGGCUCAACCGUGGAGGGUCAUUGGAAACUGGGAGACUUGAGUGCAGAAGAGGAAAGUGGAAUUCCAUGUGUAGCGGUGAAAUGCGUAGAGAUAUGGAGGAACACCAGUGGCGAAGGCGACUUUCUGGUCUGUAACUGACACUGAGGCGCGAAAGCGUGGGGAGCAAACAGGAUUAGAUACCCUGGUAGUCCACGCCGUAAACGAUGAGUGCUAAGUGUUAGAGGGUUUCCGCCCUUUAGUGCUGAAGCUAACGCAUUAAGCACUCCGCCUGGGGAGUACGGCCGCAAGGCUGAAACUCAAAGGAAUUGACGGGGACCCGCACAAGCGGUGGAGCAUGUGGUUUAAUUCGAAGCAACGCGAAGAACCUUACCAAAUCUUGACAUCCUUUGACAACUCUAGAGAUAGAGCCUUCCCCUUCGGGGGACAAAGUGACAGGUGGUGCAUGGUUGUCGUCAGCUCGUGUCGUGAGAUGUUGGGUUAAGUCCCGCAACGAGCGCAACCCUUAAGCUUAGUUGCCAUCAUUAAGUUGGGCACUCUAAGUUGACUGCCGGUGACAAACCGGAGGAAGGUGGGGAUGACGUCAAAUCAUCAUGCCCCUUAUGAUUUGGGCUACACACGUGCUACAAUGGACAAUACAAAGGGCAGCGAAACCGCGAGGUCAAGCAAAUCCCAUAAAGUUGUUCUCAGUUCGGAUUGUAGUCUGCAACUCGACUACAUGAAGCUGGAAUCGCUAGUAAUCGUAGAUCAGCAUGCUACGGUGAAUACGUUCCCGGGUCUUGUACACACCGCCCGUCACACCACGAGAGUUUGUAACACCCGAAGCCGGUGGAGUAACCUUUUAGGAGCUAGCCGUCGAAGGUGGGACAAAUGAUUGGGGUGAAGUCGUAACAAGGUAGCCGUAUCGGAAGGUGCGGCUGGAUCACCUCCUUU
rnacentral:rRNA from 1 species